UACGGAGGGUGCAAGCGUUAUCCGGAUUUACUGGGUUUAAAGGGUGUGUAGGCGGGCUUGUAAGUCAGGGGUGAAAUCCUACAGCUUAACUGUAGAACUGCCUUUGAUACUAUAAGUCUUGAAUAUUGUUGAGGUAGGCGGAAUACAUCAUGUAGCGGUGAAAUGCUUAGAUAUGAUGUAGAACACCGAUUGCGAAGGCAGCUUACUAAGCAAAUAUUGACGCUGAGGCACGAAAGCGUGGGGAUCAAACAGGAUUAGAUACCCUGGUAGUCCACGCCCUAAACGAUGAUUACUCGACGUACGCGAUACACAGUGUGCGUCUAAGCGAAAGCAUUAAGUAAUCCACCUGGGAAGUACGACCGCAAGGUUGAA
rnacentral:rRNA from 1 species